UACAAGGUCCUAGGUUCAACUUUCAGCUA
rnacentral:piRNA from 1 species